rnacentral:rRNA from 1 species
CCUACGGGAGGCAGUAGUGGGGAAUAUUGCGCAAUGGGCGAAAGCCUGACGCAGCGACGCCGCGUGAGGGAUGAAGGUCUUCGGAUCGUAAACCUCUGUCAGCAGGGAAGAACGGUCACUGUGCUAAUCAGCAGUGAAUUGACGGUACCUGCAAAGGAAGCACCGGCUAACUCCGUGCCAGCAGCCGCGGUAAUACGGAGGGUGCGGGCGUUGAUCGGAAUUACUGGGCGUAAAGCGCUCGUAGGCGGUAUGUCAAGUCAAGGGGGAAAUCCCCGCGCUCAACGUGGGAACUGCCUUUGAAACUGGCAAACUGGAGUGUGUGAGAGGAUAGUGGAAUUCCAGGUGUAGGAGUGAAAUCCGUAGAUAUCUGGAGGAACAUCAGUGGCGAAGGCGACUAUCUGGCACAUAACUGACGCUGAGGAGCGAAAGCGUGGGUAGCAAACAGGAUUAGAUACCCCGGUAGUC